rnacentral:lncRNA from 1 species
CUCCACUGGAUCCAUUAUAUGGACAUGUAUAGUAAAUAUACAAGAUCUAGGCAGUUUUUUACUGCCCAACGACUCCCAGCGGUUCGUGUCAACGGGGAUGGAAACAACCACGACGAAGCCACGACGGUACGAGGCGUGGAAACAACCACGACGAAGCCACGCUCGUGAGCUCGGCUGCUUCGUCCCGCGGCCCCUACCUCGCCCCAGAUCGCCGUCGCGUUUUCUCCGGUCGCCCCAGAUCUGGCGACGGGAGGGGCAGGGCGGCAGCCUGGCAGAGGAGGGCCGGCGGCCUGGGCAGAGGAGGGGCCGGCGGCCUAGGCAGAGGAGGGAGNG